CGAAAGAACACUCCCAACUCAAUCAAUAUAGUUUGAACAUCACUAUUCAAAUAGCCAUGCAUGACCACAGGAAGUAAGCGUUGCAUUAUCAUAUGGGAGUCACGAUUUUUCAUGUCAGAGAUAUUGCCGUCAUUAUUCCCAACACACCAUGAUAUGUUUGAAGCGUAUGUAUAAGAAAACUUUAUGUUUUUGAACCAUCCAUAAAAACUCUUCUUUUCCUCGCUAAACAGCGAAUAACAUGCAGGUGGCAUAAAAAAUCUAUCACCUCAACGAACUAAAUGCAACUCCGGC
rnacentral:lncRNA from 1 species